CUCUCUCUCUCACUUCUCUUGUCUAUUUCUCCCUCUUCACUCCCACUCUCCUCUCCUCUCCUCUCUCAUGUCCUGUCCCAGCUCUUUGGGUGGAAGCAGGCUCUGUUCAUCAUAGCACUCCUCCUACCCCAUCAUUGUAGAAGACCAGAGUCAGCCCAGAUAUUCAGCAGCUGCCUAAAAUGCCCCAGCUGGUGACCUCUGACAUGUAAAUGGCGUCCAAAGUGCGAGAUGCUGUGGUGUGGUACCAGAAGAAGAUUGGCGCUUAUGACCAACAGAUAUGGGAGAAGUCUGUUGAACAAAGAGAAAUCAAGGGCCUGAGGAACAAGCCAAAGAAGACAGGCCAUGUGAAAGCAGACCUCAUUGAUGUGGACCUAGUGAGAGGUAAGGAGGACACACCAGCUGUCUCAUUCACUCAGAUACUGUCUGUCCCAGUCCAACCAUGUUGGCUGUCUGUCCCAGUCCAACCAUGUUGGCUGUCUGUCCCAGUCCAACCAUGUUGGCUGUCCGUCCCAGUCCAACCAUGUUGGCUGUCUGUCCCAGUCCAACCAUGUUGGCUGUCUGUCCCAGUCCAACCAUGUUGGCUGUCUGUCCCAGGCCAACCAUGUUGGCUGUCUGUCCCAGGCCAACCAUGUUGGCUGUCUGUCCCAGGCCAACCAUGUUGGCUGUCUGUCCCAGGCCAAACAUGUUGGCUGUCUGUCCCAGUCCAAACAUGUUGGCUGUCUGUCCCAGUCCAAACAUGUUGGCUGUCUGUCCCAGUCCAAACAUGUUGGCUGUCUGUCCCAGUCCAAACAUGUUG